GCUGCAAGCUGUGUCAUUGCUUCACUGCUUGCUCUUCGGAAGGCAGUCUUUUCACUCUGGCUGCAUCUAAGAGUUUUUUCUUUUUGAUUGUGAUGUCCUGAAAAUUUCUAAUGAUGUGUCCAGUUGUGGAUGUUUUGUGCACUUGGACUUGGACUUCUUGGAGUUUCAUGUAUUUGGAAAACUUUCAGUCUUCUUUCUUCAGUGCUGCCUCUCUCCAUUCCUGCUAUGCUUUCCUUUUGAAACCUGUUCAGACAUGUGCUGGAAUCUGCUCAAUCUCUGUGCCACAAACUCUCCUCCAGAUUUUGAAAAUGAAAAGUCUUUCCCUUUUUUAAAAUUAAAAUUAAAAAUUUACUCCUUUUAAAAGUUAAUUAGAAGAAAACCUGUAAUAUGAGAAUAAGUAAAAUAAUCUGGUUUCAUCAUCUAAAAAAAAUAAUUAGCCUCUACUUUUAAAUUAAAAAGUCAAAUCAAUCUCAGAACCUUGGAUGUUGGCUGAAAUAAGCUGAGUGAGUGAUUUGCCUGGAAAACCUUUAAGAUUCAUACAAGAGAUGAGAAGCCCUUCGCUUAAGAAGCACGUGGAGAUCGUGAUCUGUCUCUCAACUACUGAAGGUUGGAUUUCUCCUCUGGAACAACUCCACUGCCUGUUUUAGUCCCCACCACCCAGGACCACUCAGCGGGUGUGCCCAUUAAGGAGCUUUUCAGAUGGGCAACAGCUUCCAAGUUCUAAUUUCCAAGGUCCUAGAGCUUAGUUUAAAAUAAAACUGUAAGUACUAAAAUU